ACCACACACACACAAAAACAAAAAAAUCGUCUUCCUUUGAAUUUAUUUAUUAUCCAAAAACAAAAGGUGAUGAUGAGUGUUCAAUUUCAAGUUUUCAACUAUCAUCAUCAUCAUCAUCAUCAUCAUGUUACGAGAGAAUAUAUAGUCUUUUGAAUAAAAUUGGACAUUUCCUUUCUUCUCACCAAACACUUGUCUUCAUAAUCUAGUGGUUCAUUGUUGCAUUAUGAACAAACAUUUCUUUCAUACCCCCUCCAUCUCCCACCACACAUUCAUCACUCACAUGCCUAACUCAUUUUCUUCACCCACCAGUCCACCACACAUUCAUUCAUUCAUCACACUGCAUGUCUCUCUCUCUCUCUCUCUCUCUCUCUUUAAAUCAAACCCACACUCUCAUCCAUCCCUUGUCUUACAAUCCUCUCUUUAUGUAAUUAUUAAUCCCAAAGUUCUCGACACUAUAUGGCACAGAAAGGUUACUCUUAUUGCUGCUGGAGAAGCGGUGGUGGCCGGCGACAACACCGAAAAAGCUUUAAAGAAGAAAGUGAUUGAAAAUAGACACAGCAACAAAUAAAGGCCAGCUGAACUGAAGUUUCACCUAGAGAGGAGUAGAGGACGAAGGAAGUAACUAAGCAGGUACUGAUUGGUUUGUUGUUGGCUUGUUAUGGCAUGGAUAACACACAUAUUGCAUUCAUUUCUUUUUUUUCUUUUAGAUCUGAAAGAGAAGGUAGAUUUUUAACAGUAGAAAAACUAAUAGAAAUUUCACUAUUAAGUAUUCAACUACCCUUCUUAUUUUUUACUCACUCUAGUUUUAAAUAUAAAAAAAAUUUACUUUUUAAAUACAUUGGAAAAUUGAUGUAUCUAAUCUAUUCUAUUCGAAAAUUAAAAACAUAGUUUCAAUAUUAUCGUUGUUUUAAGAUUAUCAAUGUUGUUAAAGAUAAAUUUGUCCAAAAAAAUGUUUUUCGAAAUUAUUUUGAUAAACUUGAAACAAGAUUUUUUUCCCAAAAUAUACCCCUACCCCCCUCUUAUUUUCCGUAAUACCCCAUCUCAAAAUUAUUUCCCGUAAUACACCUCUCAUGGGAUAAAGUCUGUCGACGCAGCAGGGGGGAAGGGUAGUGAAAUUCCAAAUGUCGUCAUUGCCUCUUGGGUAGCGACAUUCUGACCGUCGGUGCCACAAGGUGGAGGACCUGCAUUUCUCGGAUGUCUUUGUUCAUAUAAUUGCUCUUCCUCGUUAUCCUCGUUUGGAUUUGUUUCUUCCACGCCAAGCAAAUUGCUAAGAUGUUGAGACCACGAGGAACCUUCACCGGCAGCCCACGUUGAAUUUAACAUCUCGUCCGGUACAGCAGAACCCCAGGAUAAAUCUAGGGGGAUUUGUUGGAUUUGUUGGGGUUGUAUAGAAUCACCGGGGUAGUAAGCAUUUUCUAAAUUUUCAUUGAAACGUUGAGUUCCCAGUGAUUCAAAUGGUUGGUCGUCGAAAAAAAUCCGCGUAAGUGGCAAUGAGGUAAAAAAAUUGGAUUGGCUAAAAGACAUUGGAUAUUGUUGUUCGGUAAAUGGUUGUUGUUGCUGGGUCUGUGAUCUCGGUAUGUUGAUGUUGUUGGCUAUAUGAGGGUGUGUCUGGUAAAAUGGUAUGUUGGGUAAAUGUAUGCUGCUGCACAUCGGGACGUGGGCGUGGAUCAAAUAAAUAAUGAUCGGAAGAAAGAUAUGACAUGUUGACCCUUGUAUAAGUAUUUAAGAACUCCGUUGAGUGCAUCCACUUGAUCUCCAACGAGGACAUAAUUAUGGCGAUUAUUCCAAUGUUGGACUUUGACCAUAAAUUUGGUUGCCCAAUCAUGAACUGCUGCUCGCAUUGUUAUUCUGUGGUAACGAGUCAUGACUUGUGGAACGUCAUCAAAUCCCGCAUGUUGAAAUCCAAAUUGGAGACGGACCUUGUCGGUCUGAUGAAACUCUACAACCUAAAGUUAAUGAUAAAUGUGGUUGCUGACCAACAUGCAACGUCCUCUGGAUACAAGCACUAACUGAUGUCAUAAGGAGUCCAAGUAAACUGAUAUUUUUAAAAACAAAUUAGAGAUUUGUUAGUGUAUGCAUUUAUUUAGUUUAAAAAUAACAAAGAAAUAUUAAGAGAAUAUAUAUUACCCCGUCUUCCGUUAAACGAUCGAGCACGUUUGUAGCGCCAUGUAUAUCGUGGUCCGGACCGCCAGACUACUUUGUUCCGGAAGCAACGUACCUAAAAUAAUAUUUUCACUAUACGAUUAAUAUCAUUGUAAAUAUACAUAUUUAUUAUUAAUAAAUAAUAGAUUGAUUCAAAAAAAUAAAAUAAAA